rnacentral:rRNA from 1 species
CAGUAGCCACGGUAAUACGUAGGGCGCAAGCGUUAUCCGGAAUUAUUGGGCGUAAAGAGCUCGUAGGCGGUUUGUCGCGUCUGCCGUGAAAGUCCGGGGCUCAACCCCGGAUCUGCGGUGGGUACGGGCAGACUAGAGUGAUGUAGGGGAGACUGGAAUUCCUGGUGUAGCGGUGAAAUGCGCAGAUAUCAGGAGGAACACCGAUGGCGAAGGCAGGUCUCUGGGCAUUAACUGACGCUGAGGAGCGAAAGCAUGGGGAGCGAACAGGAUUAGAGACCCCUGUAGUCCCUGUCUCUUAUAA